rnacentral:rRNA from 1 species
UACGUAGGGUGCGAGCGUUGUCCGGAAUUACUGGGCGUAAAGAGCUCGUAGGUGGUUUGUCGCGUUGUUCGUGAAAACUCACAGCUCAACUGUGGGCGUGCGGGCGAUACGGGCAGACUGGAGUACUGCAGGGGAGACUGGAAUUCCUGGUGUAGCGGUGGAAUGCGCAGAUAUCGGAAGGAACAUCAGUGGCGAAAGCGGCUUCCUGGACCAGUACCGACGUUCAGGCACGAAAGCGUGGGGAGCAAACAGG